GAGAGGCAAUAACUUCCUCCCAGGAACUGCAGGACCUCCUGGAAGAAGACGCGCAAGACUUUGCAAGUGAGAACAGCGGAUUGGAAGGCACUGUCCAGCAGCCAAGCGAGAGCGUUGAAGCCCUUCCGAGAGCCCUGCAAGCCUCUGCCUCAGGUGGUGAACUUUCCCAGCAGCUGGACAUGGAGCCUGGAACAGGCAUGCAGCUCGAGGCCCUAAACCAGGCUUUGCAAGAAGAGCUGUCCACUCUGCUUGGGAAGUGUGAACAACUGGAGAAGAGCAAAUGUCAGCUGCAAGAAGAGGUGACAAAACUCCACCACCAUUUGGAGACUUUGGUGCUGGAUUGCAGCCAAAGAGAACAGUGUACAGGAGAGGUGGCAGAAGGAGCUGACUAG